AGAAAAGUAAGCUAAGUUAAGCUAGUGGAUUCAUACUCCAUUAAUAGAGGUACCUCUCUUCUCUA
rnacentral:tRNA from 1 species